GCAAGAAAUACCAGCUCUAGGAGCAAAGGAAGAAUCACUGUCUCUUGAGCUCCUUCCCAAGAAUACGCCAUUGAAAUAUCAACCAUAGGGACCCUUUACCCCACAGGAGAGUUGAAUCAAGGCCAGUGGUAUGAAUAAGGUGGCAAUUCUGAAGGGAAGAUUUUUGUAAGAAUGGACCCACACCAGCAGAUCGCCAGCAUAUAUAAUAGGGAUACAUUACGGAUUCCCGAGUAUGAAAAAACUUCCCAGUGUACGAACCAGGUACAAAAGCAUGAGGAUAGGCCCAGAGAAGGAAGACGGCACACAUGUAGUGAAUGUGGAAAGAAGUUUGCUCAGAGCUCAGGCCUUGUUCGACAUCGGAGAAUCCACACUGGAGAGAAACCCUAUGAGUGUGAUCACUGCGGAAAAGCCUUCAGUGUGCGCUCAACCCUCACAGUGCAUGAAAGAACCCACACCGGCGAGAAGCCCUAUACUUGUAACGAGUGCAGGAAAGGCUUCAGCGUGAGGGCACACCUGAUCAUCCACCAGAGAAUCCACAAUGGGGAGAAACCCUAUGAGUGUAAUGAGUGCGGCAAAGCCUUUAGUGUGAGCUCAGACCUUAUCAAGCAUCAGAGAAUACACUCUGGUGAAAAGCCCUAUGAGUGUGUCGAGUGUGGGAAAGCCUUCAGCGUGAGCUCAGCCCUCAUCAAACAUCAGAGAAUCCACACAGGAGAGAAGCCGUAUGAGUGUAAGGAGUGUGGGAAGGCCUUCUAUGUGAACUCCGCCCUUAUCAAUCAUCAGAGGAUUCACUCUGGAGAAAAGCCCUAUGAGUGUGGAGAAUGCAGGAAAGCCUUCAGCCAAAUCUCCACCCUCAUCCAUCACCAGAGAAUCCACACUGGAGAGAAGCCGUAUGAGUGUGAGGAGUGUGGGAAAGCCUUCCGUGGGAGUUCUAAUCUUACUAAACACCAGAAAAUACAUGCCAAAGGAAAGUGUCCUGGAGAAGUGAGAAGUCAGUGGAAAUAACUCCAGAAUGGUAACUAAAGUUCUAAAAUCACAUCUACUUCUGAGAUUGCCACUUUGCAAUAAGGAAUGCGCAGUUUCCAGAAUUUCUCAUCGGCCCUUCCGACCAGUUAGCCCAUAGACACACUGGGUUCCAUGAAGCUUUGUACCAGCUUGUGCCACCAAGCACUGAAGUCUGAGAUGCAUAUGGAAAAGCAUGUCACGGAGUCUCCGAUACUGAGGAUGGAGCUUUGCAGGCAGACUCUUCUUCUGGGAUCAGCACUGAAGAGAUGCCAUAUCCCAUCCCAAACCAGCACAGCUGAAUCCCAAGCACUAAGUGGUAUAAAGCAUAGUGAUUCAGCUGAAAUUGAUUUUAUGUAUGAAUGAGAUGGUGACUCCUGGCUGUAAACAAGGUUCCAUUUCAAAGCAGAGUUUUGCAGAAGUUCAUCAUCAAGUGAGGGGGGAGCCUCUUUGAAGAAUCACAGGUUAUAUUGCUUCAAGCCAAGCAGAGACUCUCUCUGAGAAAGAGACCUAAGGCACUUGGGAGAACUUGCCCUGAAGUUCACUUCUGUCCCUGCUCUGGGAGUGGGAAAUUCUCCCUUCACCUUGCGCACAGUUUCAACGUGUAAUAAACUAAUAAGAGAAGCAGCUGCUCCGUAAAAUGAGUGAUCUCAAAUGUCUUUCCCUAAUAGUACAAACCCUGGAACACCAGCAGUCUGCAUGCAAGCACCAGUGUAUCCAGAUCUGAGGAGACCCUACAAGUCAUCACAGUCUGGAAGGACCUUCAGUGUAAAACCAAAUCCCAUUUCACUACACAACAGAGAAGCCAUCCCGGAGAAGAGUCCCAGCGGAGUAAAGAGUGUGGCAAACACCUCACGUACCGGACUGGUCUUGUCAGAUGCCAGAGAACUGUUGGGAACACCUUCAGUUUGUAAACGUUCCAUGUGAGCUCAAGUCUCAUUAAAUAUAAGUUGACUUUGGACAGGAGUGAGUAGGGAGGUCUUCAUUUGGAAAGAGUGCUUGUUACCACAAAACCCAUAAAUAUAAAAAUGUGGGAAGGCCUUCACUAAAAGCAGUCUUCUGUAUUGGUAAAUCCACACCAGAGCAAAAUCCUGAUGUACGACUGCUCUGGGGACACUUUAGCAUUAGCUCAAUUCUUAAAGUGUAUCAACGAUGCCACACAGAGAAAAGUUCUGUGAGUGUAAGUGAUAUGGAAAAGCCUUCAUAGUUCGGAUCUUACCAAACACUGGUCUGCAUUAGAGAGGAGCCUUAUGUGUGGGACAAGUGUGGGAAAACCUUUCAAUGAACUUGUCUCUUACCAGACAUCAGAGAAUACAAAACAAAUACAAACGUCAAUUAUGAAAUAAUGUGGUAAAGGCCCAGGAUUUUUUUAAACAUAAAACAUCACCAUUAAGAAAAAACCCAACUGGGGCACCUGGCUGGCUCAGUUGGAAGAGCGUUUGACUCUUGAUCUCAGGGUUGUGAGUUCAAGUUCCACAUUGGGUGUAGAGAUCACUAAAAAAAAAAAGAGAGAGAGAGAGAGAGAAUUGACCCAAUUGCAUCAGUAACUUUAGCAGUAUUUUAUAGAAUUGAAGACAAGUGUUAUUAGAGACUUCGUCAGGUCACUGCAUGGGCAAAGUUGAACUGAUACAAAUCUAUGGCAGAUCUCCAUGGGUAUUUAACUCUUUUUGGCACAGUUAGCUUUCAUUUUCUGUAGUAAAGGUAGAGAAUGGGAAGAAGUCUUUAUAACUAUUCAUAAUUUUUGGUGAUUGAAUCAUUUAUUACAUUUUUUAGUUUGGAAUUCAUGAUGCUAAUUAAAAUAGUUUUUCUAUGAGUGAUUUUGACAUUGAUUCCUCUGAUGCAACAAGUAUACCAUUUCUACCAUACUUACUCCCUUUUAUUUUUAUAGUGUUGAUAGAUCUGGGAAAUGCUGCAAAUACCUGUGGUUAGGUAAAUCAUUUCGCAGAAUUUUCUGUCCCUUUGGGAAGAGAAAAAUAAAAGUGUCGGUGGGCCAUGUGAACUUGUGAUUUGCUAAACGACCAUAUUUACCUUAUUUGCUUUUAUGUGUCUGAUAUGUUGAAUAGUGACUGAUAGAAGGCUUGGAACGGAUUCUCAUUGGAGGACUACUUUAAGGCUUCUGUGUGUGGGUUGUUAUCAAGUCAGCCUGAAGAGGGAGCUCUAAUAGUUUGUCCCAGGAUGUGCCCCCUUCUCAGGCCUGGUCCACAAAUAAGCUUGGGUACUCACUGUGGAUUUGUUAUGAACUCAGUUCAUGGUGCAUCAUAAUCAUUGGUCUGUGUGUGGCCUUACUUUUGUUUUUAUACAUUUUACUUUUAUCUCCACCCCCAUCCCAAUCUCCUGCAGGCACACUUACUUUAAAAACUGGUGUGUUCUAUCUCAUUUUAUGCCAUUCUGCUUUUUGAAAUCACUUAAUUAUGAAUCCAUUAAUAUAUGCAGGUCCAAUCCUUUAACUGCUUAGUGCUUACUUAGUCAUUUGUUCAUCCUUUUAAUGAAAGCUAUUUAGGGUUUUAACCAACUUUUGCGUUGAACACCUUUUGGGAGUGUUUUUCUGGGGAACAUAGGAGCGAAACUGCUGGGCCACAGGUUAUGCACAGUGUAAAUCUCACUAGCAUGUAAUGGUUCCUGUUCCUUAUGAACUAAGGGACCUAUCGGCAUCUUUUAUUUAUUUAUUUAUUUAUUUAAGAUUUUAUUUAUUUGACAGACACAGCG